CUCUGGUGAUCUGCACAACAGAAGACUGUUAGCCCGCUGAGCUAAUGCAAGUCUUCAGGUGUCAGGUAAUGUUAAACAGUCAGACAGAGGGUGGGAGGGUGUGUGUGUUUAUGUCACAGACAGGUAAUGUUAAACAGUCAGACAGAGGGUGGGAGGGUGUGUGUGUUUAUGUCACAGACAGGUAAUGUUAAACAGUCAGACAGAGGGUGGGAGGGUGUGUGUGUUUAUGUCACAGACAGGUAAUGUUAAACAGUCAGACAGAGGGUGGGAGGGUGUGUGUGUUUAUGUCACAGACAGGUAAUGUUAAACAGUCAGACAGAGGGUGUGUGUGUUUAUGUCACAGACAGGUAAUGUUAAACAGUCAGACAGAGGGUGUGUGUGUUUAUGUCACAGACAGGUAAUGUUAAACAGUCAGACAGAGGGUGUGUGUGUUUAUGUCACAGACAGGUAAUGUUAAACAGUCAGACAGAGGGUGUGUGUGUUUAUGUCACAGACAGGUAAUGUUAAACAGUCAGACAGAGGGUGUGUGUGUUUAUGUCACAGACAGGUAAUGUUAAACAGUCAGACAGAGGGUGUGUGUGUUUAUGUCACAGACAGGUAAUGUUAAACAGUCAGACAGAGGGUGUGUGUGUUUAUGUCACAGACAGGUAAUGUUAAACAGUCAGACAGAGGGUGUGUGUGUUUAUGUCACAGACAGGUAAUGUUAAACAGUCAGACAGAGGGUGUGUGUGUUUAUGUCACAGACAGGUAAUGUUAAACAGUCAGACAGAGGGUGUGUGUGUUUAUGUCACAGACAGGUAAUGUUAAACAGUCAGACAGAGGGUGUGUGUGUUUAUGUCACAGACAGGUAAUGUUAAACACAUAUUAUUCAUGUUAUUGUUGUUAUUAUUAUUAUUACUAUUAUUUAUUAUUCUUGUUAUGGUUAUUAUUGUAGUUUGUAUUAUUAUUAUAGUUGUAUUAUUAUUGUUAUUAUUAUUGGUAGUAUAAUUAUUAUUAUAGUUGUAUUAUUAUUGUUAUUAUUAUUGGUAGUAUAAUUA